CUCAUUGCCCUGGCUGUCUGUGUACCUGUCUACCAGUCUGCCCAACACGUCUGUCAGUCAGUAUGUCUACCCUGAAGGUUCUCUCUCUGGUCCUCUUGAUCGCUGUGUGUGAUUGCUUUCGCUUGCCCACUAAGUUCAAGCCAACCUUUUGUUGUAAGAGUCUGAACGAUCGUACUCUCAAGAAUGUCGGUGAAUACCACAGAGUAAAGGCUGAUCCUCCCUCUUGCUUGGAAGCUGUUUACUUCGAGACUAAGGAGGGCCCUGUCUGCAGUGACCCCAAGGCACCCUGGGUAAAGAAGAUGAUGGAAACCUUGGAUAAGAAGAAAGGCCAUGCUUUGCUGAGGGGGUAGAGGACUGGGUUCUUCAUUCGUCUUGUGAUCUCCUCUGAAGAAACAUCAAGCCAUCCUUUACAUCCUAACAACACAUGCUACUGUGUUCUAUUGUAUUCAAAUCUAACACUGUUCAAUCUGUAAUCUACUCUAUCGUUAAUACCUGCUUACAUGCGUGCAUGCUCAAACGCACCAGGCGCCACCAUACACACACACAUGAGAACGCCACACUUACGCAAACUUGAAAUAUGGUGUAAUAUUAAUAAAAAGUGGCUGUAAAGAAAAACUGAAAAUAAGUUAAGUUCAUCACACCACAGAAGAAUGUGUUGUCGACUACCCAUCCACAUUCGAUGUAUGUUAAAUAAGGCUUUUUUUCUUUGUUAAGCUUCUCGAUGCAUGUUAAAUUAGGCUUUAAAAUCGUGAGUUAAUCAGCAGUCGUCUCUGCUUGAGACGGGAGGGGGGGGGGGGG